rnacentral:rRNA from 1 species
GAUGAACGCUAGCGGCAGGCUUAAUACAUGCAAGUCGAGGGACAGCACAGGUAGCAAUACUGGGUGGUAACCGGCAAACGGGUGCGGAACACGUACACAACCUUCCUUUAAGUGGGGGAUAGCCCAGAGAAAUUUGGAUUAAUACCCCGUAAUAUAGUUGAAUGGCAUCAUUUGAUUAUUAUAGCUACGGCGCUUAAUGAUGGGUGUGCGGCUGAUUAGAUAGUUGGCGGGGUAACGGCCCACCAAGUCUACGAUCAGUAGCUGAUGUGAGAGCAUGAUCAGCCACACGGGCACAGAGACACGGGCCCGACUCCUACGGGAGGCAGCAGUAAGGAAUAUUGGUCAAUGGACGCAAGUCUGAACCAGCCAUGCCGCGUGAAGGAUUAAGGUCCUCUGGAUUGUAAACUUCUUUUAUUUGGGACGAAAAAGGGCCUUUCUAGGUCAACUGACGGUACCAGAUGAAUAAGCACCGGCUAACUCCGUGCCAGCAGCCGCUGUAACAC